rnacentral:lncRNA from 1 species
GGAUUGUUUCCACUAUUUGGCUGUUAUGAACAUUGAUGUAUGUGAUUUGUGUGGUCAUAUGUUUUCAUUUCUCUUAGGUAUAUCCUAGGCGUGGAGUUUCUAUGCAUUGCGGUAACAAGUCACUGUUUGAGGAAAUGUUGGACUGUUUUCUAAAUGGCUGCACUAUUUUACACUUCCACGAGCAAUGCACAGUGGUUCCAAUUUCUCCAAAUUCUUGUCAACACCUGCUACCUUUUUUAUUAUGACCCUAUUGUUUGUCUUCUGACUACAGCCAUAUUAAAAGAGAGAGACAGCGAGAGAAGAAACACAAGCAAUGGCAGAAGGAGAAGGAGAAGCAGGCUUUCCGCUGAGUAGGGAGCCUGACACGGGACUUGAUCCCAGGACCCUAAAACAAUGACCUGAGCCGAAGGCAGAAACUUAAUGACUGAGUCACCCAGGCACCCCUCUAAUGCUUUAAUUUAUAAACAAGAUUAUCAGGAAUUCCAAGGAACAGUGUGUUGGGAUGGAGUCACCCAUUUUGCUUUUAGGUUAGUGUUUCCAUGAAACAUUUCAUUUAAUACAGGGGCAUGUAUGAAAUGUCUGCUUUGAACAGGUUUAUUGAUCUCUGCUAGAACAACAAAUGCCAACACUUUUAUUAAUGAGGUAAAAUGGGUCAUUAAGGUUAUAAUUAUAUGCCUCACUGAAUGUUCCCCAAGUUUAUCCAGCUCAGUAUUUUUAUUUUAAAAAUAUUUAAUUACCAUUGUCAUUUUUCUUGGCUUACAAUAAGUGUGUGUGUGUGUGUGUGCAUAUCAUUUAUGUAUAUGUGAUGCAUAUCACAGUGACUUGAUGAUGAUUAGCCUAAGACCUAUUUGGAGUUCUUGGAGAAUGUUCUAUCAGUUAUUUGUGGAUCAGUCUCUACUGCACUGUGCUAUAUCUAUUUGUAUAUGUCUUAUUUCCAUACAGAGUUGAAGGCAAGAGUUAGAUCUUAUUUAUCCUUCUGUUCCUAUGGAGUCUGGUAUAUGUUGAUAUUCAACUGGAUAUUACUUUGAAACAAAAUAAAACAAAACAGAAAAACCUAGCCGAUGUCUCUGCGAAAUUUCCUAAUCACCAAUGACUUGCCAGUUAGUUGUGAUAUCUCUCAGUCUCUCAUCUUCUGCAGGCAAAUAGUUUCUCUUGUCUCUCCUAACACUUUCUCAUCCUAAAUAAAAUUGGAUACAAGACUGUGGCACAGUUGGUUUGAGUGCAAGGCACCAGAGCACAGCUCAAGUGAAG